ensembl:lncRNA
CGCGCGCUAGCUAGCAAGUUGCGAUACUCCGGGGCGGCGGCGCGGAGCCUGCGUCCAGGGGUUUCAAGAGGACAGUGGAUGGUAUGUGGAUGAUGGCAAUGACUGGAUUGUGAACCACAUAUGGAAAAGCCAUAAUCCAUGGCUUUGAUGUCAAGAAGCCACAGCCCACCAAUCCAAUGAUGUCAGCAUGAUGGAAAAAAAGGAUGAGAGAAGAAGAACCUGGAACAAGGGAGAAGGGAGGAAGAAGGAUGGAGAUCAGGAACAUGGCCAACUUGUGUUCUCACUUGUAAUUAGGGAGUAAAGGCUUGCCUUCAUAAGCUUGCAUGUCAUAUUUAACUGGUGCCUUCCUAUAACAUCUUGACUUAAUAAAGAGGCUAGCAAAAGGAAAAGAGAAGAAAAAUGAAAGAAAAAAAUCCGCAGCAGGACAAUAAAAAGUUUCCUCUUCACACCCACCGCCGUGGGGGUUUUUCCUUUGUGCCUCAGGGCUUAUCCCACUGAAACGCAUCAAUUUUUGCUUUUAUGCUGGAAAUGCCCAAAAAACAUUUGAAGCUUCCCAGCCACCCCUUGAGGGUGAGAACGUUUCACAAUGUGUCUCCAGGGAAGGCUAGGGGGCCAGCGUCGGGUAGAGAGGAGGCUUUCUCCCCUUCACAGGGGAACAAAGGACAGAACCUCAGAGUUCUUGACCCAAUGUGUGACCUCGG